rnacentral:lncRNA from 1 species
GCUGUUCCCCUCUCUGCAGGGUCAUGUGGCCUGGCCUGCCGGCCCUCCGUCCCCGCUCCAGGACUAACCUCUGUGGAGGGAAUCACCUAACUCGAGGGAUCACGACUCCUGAGCAGUGAAGUCGCAUGAGGCCCCACAGACCCCGGGAUUGGAGGCCCAAGGACCUGCCAGUGUGCGGGGCUGGCCUCUGCAGACAGUGAAAAGCUCCCGUGGCCACGCUUGGCAGAUGCUGGGAAGUGAAGAGACAGCCAAAUGGCCAAAUUCCCCUGGAAAUUUCUCCUGGUGUCUGGCACCCUGGGAUUUUGCCUGGCUGGGUUUGUGGGCGGCUGCCAGAGGCACUGCAGAAGCUGUCAGGCUGGGCUUCCAGGGACAAAGGUGGAAGCGCCCCCACCAGAGAAGAGUGUGGGUGUCAGGCAUGGCCUGGGCUGAGACCCCGCUGUCACUUCCUGUCUGUGAUCUUGAUCAAGCUCACCCCCUGCCCUGAGCCGGCUGGUUUGUUCAUCAGUACAACAGGGUUAAUAAAUAGCACUGCCUACCCGCUGGGUGCUGUAAACAUCCUGUGGAAAGAUGGACUUUUGAAAACAUCGCGUGUCACUGUGAGGAGCUGCCGGGGUUGGAAGAGGAGUGGCUAGAUGUUCCUUGAGGCUCCCUGCUGCGCUGGGCUGCAGAUAUCCAUUCCUGUUGGCUCUGCCUACGCGAGGCCCCCGGGAUCGGUCUGCCUUGCACCACCUUCGCUGCUCUCCGGUUCGACCACCGCCUUCUCCCAGCCGGCCCUGCUGCCUCACCCCCACCUCCACAACCUGUUCUCAGGAGGAUGGCCAGAGCAACCCCUGUGCCCUCAGCCAGCUGUCUUCUGCUCAAGCCUCCCCGCCCCCCCAUAGUAAAAGGCAGAGCCUGGACCAUGGCCUGGGAGGCUCCGUUCUGUCUGACUCUGCCACUACGUCCGGCUCCAGCCUCUGCGCGCCCACCCGCCCCUGCCUCGCCCAUCUUGGCCGGGCUGUCUCCUGCAGCGGCUCCCUCCUUGGGACCUUAGGAGGGGCUGCAACACUUGACCUUAGACAGCCACACGGCAGCCCCGGCACCUCUGCCAGCUCUUUGGGCAAAUCCCACGCUCAGUGAGGCGCCCUGACUGUCCU